rnacentral:rRNA from 1 species
AUGGCGGCUGAGUCUUCCUGGUGCUGGCCGUGGCUCAGCUCCGGUGCGGCGUGGUUCCUCUUCUUCAACGUCGUCGUCGGCGCCGUGGCCGUCCUGUCCUGGCGGCAGGGCGGCGACGCGCAGGUGUCUAGGCGCAGGAGGCUCACCCGGAGCGCCUCGUCCAUGGUCAUGGAGCGCCUCCGGUCCAUGCCUGUCUUCGCUGCCUUCCACUCCGUGCCCGAGCACGACUAUGGCAGCAGCCUCACACCGCCGGCGUCGCAAGAGUACUACACGUCGCCAGAAGAGGGAGGAGAGGAGACCGGGCACGCGGUGAAGCAGCUGGAGCCGGCCCUACCGGCGGGAGAAAGCAUAAUGGCGGCGACCAUGGCUCAGUGGAGACCGAGCGCUCCUGAUGCACCAGAGGAAGUACGUUCGGUGGCUUCGAUGUCGGGGGGCGAGGAGGCGGAAGCAGAGAAACGGUCGGAGAUGUCCAGAUGCUUGGGAGACGCGUGCACUGUAGCAGUGGUCCGGCAGCGAGCCGCGCCGGAGCCGGAGCCAACUCCAGCCACGGCCCCCGCCAAGAGUGCUACGACGGAGAGGCCGAGGAAGCGGGAGCCGGCGAAGGUGGCGGAGACUGUCGGGCGGCGCGUGCAUGCGGAGAUAGAAGAGAAGGCUGAGGUGAACGCGCGGGCAGAGCGGUUCAUCCGGCAGUUCCGGGAGGAGCUCAAGCUGGAGCGCAUCAAAUCCAUCAUCAACCAGAGCGCCGCCGCAUCGGCACGGUAG